rnacentral:rRNA from 1 species
AUACGUAGGUGGCAAGCGUUGUCCGGAAUUACUGGGCGUAAAGGGCGAGUAGGCGGUCAUGCAAGUCAGAUGUGAAAGGCGCGGGCUCAACUUGCGCAUUGCAUUUGAAACUGUGUGACUUGAGUGCAGGAGAGGAAAGCGGAAUUCCCAGUGUAGCGGUGAAAUGCGUAGAUAUUGGGAGGAACACCAGUGGCGAAGGCGGCUUUCUGGCCUGUAACUGACGCUGAUGCGCGAAAGCGUGGGGAGCAAACAGGAUUAGAUACCCUGGUAGUCCACGCCGUAAACGAUGGAUGCUAGGUGUGGGAGGUAUCGACCCCUUCCGUGCCGUAGUUAACGCAAUAAGCAUCCCGCCUGGGGAGUACGGUCGCAAGACUGAA